rnacentral:rRNA from 1 species
UACGUAGGGGGCAAGCGUUGUCCGGAUUUAUUGGGCGUAAAGAGCGUGUAGGCGGCUUUACAGGUCCGUUGUGAAAACUCGAGGCUCAACCUCGAGACGCCGGUGGAAACCGUAAAGCUAGAGUCCGGAAGAGGAGAGUGGAAUUCCCGGUGUAGCGGUGAAAUGCGUAGAUAUCUGGGGGAACACCGGUGGCGAAGGCGGCAUCCUGGACCGACACUGACACAGAGGGGCGAAAGCCAGGGGAGCAAACGGG